AACGAACGCUGGCGGCAUGCCUAACACAUGCAAGUCGAACGAGACCUUCGGGUCUAGUGGCGCACGGGUGCGUAACGCGUGGGAACCUGCCCUUAGGUUCGGAAUAACUCCCCGAAAGGGGUGCUAAUACCGGAUCAUGUCUUCGGACCAAAGAUUUAUCGCCUUUGGAUGGGCCCGCGUUGGAUUAGCUAGUUGGUAGGGUAAAACCCUACCAAGGCGACGAUCCAUAGCUGGUCUGAGAGGAUGAUCAGCCACACUGGGACUGAGACACGGCCCAGACUCCUACGGGAGGCAGCAGUGGGGAAUAUUGGACAAUGGGCGAAAGCCUGAUCCAGCAAUGCCGCGUGAGUGAUGAAGGCCUUAGGGUUGUAAAGCUCUUUUACCCGGGAUGAUAAUGACAGUACCGGGAGAAUAAGCGCCGGCUAACUCCGUG
rnacentral:rRNA from 1 species